GGCAGCAGUGUGCUAAUGUGUUGCUAAUGUGCAACAAAACCACAGAAGAAGAAAUUAGGACAGUUAGAGCAUGCGCAACAAGCAAUGUUUUGAAUUUGUGCUGACAUCGGUUGGCUCCAGCUAAUUGGCGAAGAAUUUGCUGAAACUGGGAAAAGAAGCAGAGACUGCUUGCAUUUUUACCUCUGGACAAAGACACUAAGGACAAGUGUUUGUGGCAACUGCCUUCUCUGAACAGCGGUCUCAUCAGCACAGGCCUCAGUACACUGGAGAUUUAAGAGGACACUUCACACCCUACAACCCCUAAAAUAACCCAGAUUUGACAGCACUGCACACCCAUCUCGGGCCUUCCUGUUUCAUUUUGCGAUUACCCCAGAUACUUCUACUACUAACCCGCUUUGUGUCUGAUGUUGAUGCAGUCUGGACACUAAUAUGUGUUGGAUUGCUGACCAUCAUUGAAGACGAUGUAUUUCUCCAAAUCUUCUCUGCCUUGACCCUGUGUCUUCUGCCAUCAUUGUUCAGGGUACACUGCAAAGAACAGUCUCUAGAAUCUACAUCAACUGUUUGCUUCUGGAAUGUCAUUUGGUACAUUUGGAUUACUGCUACAUUUGGAUUGACCUAAUACCAUGAAAAACACUUGGAGAUUCAUUCAAAGUGUGGUGCUUUAUUUGGGACAAAACAAAACCCUGAAACUAAAGUGACUUUUUGAACUUUAAUUAUAUAAACCAUUGGCAACGUGUGCAGCCUACCCAGUGCCAUACUUUAAUUCAUCCUCCUACUGCUACCUCCACUUCUUACACUAAGCAUACCCUAAAUCAGAUUGUUGUUGGUUUGUGUAAUACAUUACCUUUAACUUUGAAUUGUCACUGCCUUAAAUUUAUGUGUCAUAUGAAUGGAACAUUGUUUUCAUUAAUUUGUAAUGGAUUUUUUUAAGCACUUAAGUUACAAGACUAGUUAAAUUAAUAGUUACUAUUACUACUUAAAUUAAUAGUUAGUAA